rnacentral:rRNA from 1 species
GACGAACGCUGGCGGCGUGCCUAACACAUGCAAGUCGAACGAGAUCCAUGGGAGCUUGCUCCCGGAAGAUCUAGUGGCGAACGGGUGAGUAACACGUGAGAAACCUGCCCUGGAGUGGGGAAUAACUCGGGGAAACUCGAGCUAAUACCGCAUACCCUCGGAUGGUCGCAUGGCCGACCGAGGAAAAGAUUUAUCGCUCUAGGAGGGUCUCGCGGCCUAUCAGCUAGUUGGUGGGGUAACGGCCUACCAAGGCAACGACGGGUAGCUGGUUUGAGAGAACGAUCAGCCACACUGGGACUGAGACACGGCCCAGACUCCUACGGGAGGCAGCAGUGGGGAAUCUUGCGCAAUGGGCGAAAGCCUGACGCAGCAACGCCGCGUGCGGGAUGACGGCCUUCGUGG